GCUGCUUCUAGAAUAAAUAAUCAAAUGAUGCAGACAGAUCCCCACAAAUACCUGCUGGGCUUACAGCUAAGAGAUGGCAUGGAGGUGCCUACAGCUGUUGGACUGUCACUCAAUUUAUACUACACCUCAUUGUGCCCGGGAGGAGUGCAUCUAUGUCUCAGGCUGUGUGAGGAUGCCAAGACUCUUCACAGGACCUAGGCAUUGCUCCACUUCUACCAAGUCCUUGUGAGGUUGGAGCCCUGUUGUGGGAAACCAUGUCUUUUUCCAGUGUGGGGGAAAAUGUAACGUCAGGAUGGAUCAGCAGUCAAAAGUUGUGAAAAGAAUAGCAAAAGUGAUAUGUGACUAAAGAAAGAAAACAGGAUGAGACUCCCUGAUUCAAAAGAACCACCUCUCUUCAGGAAUGCUCGUGAAUAUGCUUCUGAGCGAAGAGGAAUCUUCCAGAAGCUAUGGAGUGGCCAAUCCAUGCUGCCUCCUCCAUGCUCUGUUGUGGAACUGAGAAGUGGAGAGUCUUCCUUCGGAUCUGCAAGCUCUGGUUUAACCCUGGCACAAUAUGUCACAUAGCAGCUGUAGAGAAUGAUCUGGUUCCUGUGCUCUGGAUGAGUUAAUUUCGUGCCUUGCUCUGACAUGUAAGAAGGAAACUCUGGAAAGAUGAGGCUCACAGAGGAAAGGAUCUUGAAAUCUCUUGGCUACCCCACGGGGACUGUGAAUUGCUACAAUUAUUUCUGUGGAUAUAACAGCAUUUUCUUAGUGCUUCUUUUCCACAUCUUUCACCAACCAUUUUUCUACUUACUUCUGCCAUGGUUGUCACCCUCAGCAGCAUUGCUGCUGGGAUACUCUACUCCUUCUGUGGACUGCUGAUCAGCAACUGUACAUGUACUCCGUGGGCUGGGAAAUGCUGUUUGUAUAGUUAAGUACUUGCCUAAAUUGCUCUGGACUAAAAACAGAAUAAGCAGUUUGGCACCUGAUUUUUCACACAAUGUUUAUUUUGCACAAAGAGUGAAUUUUAAUUAAAGCUGACUCAAUGUGUUUUCAGUGUGAGAGUAGGUUAGUUACUACUGGCUGCUUUUGUGAAGGAGGGCAGGAAAAAUAAAAUGUCUACUCUUGAGUGCUCUGUGUGUGUAGCUAUAAAUCAAAGAUAGGCACAGGUGUGUAAAACAUAGCUAAUGUUGAUAAAAACUGAAUCUGAGAUAUUUAAUCUAAAUAUUUGAAUAAGGCUCUUGGGUUAUUUGCUGUGAAUCAAUUUGGGUCAACCUCACACCCCAGCAAAGUCUGUCUGCAGUGGUGACCAUACCAGGUGUUUCAGGGGGAGCUGUAAGCAUUCUACAGUGCGAUGUAUUUUCUAUAAAGAAAGUUUUCUUCCAUGUUUAAAUAGUAAAAGUUGAUUCAACUCUGAAAGUAACUUUAUUUCAUCUUUUUCCUUACUGCUGAUAGUAUUCUAUAUAUUGAAACAAAUGCUGCUGUUUCAAAUGCUUCUGAGGUAUCUUCUAUUGGAAUCUUGUGGAAGGAUUCUGCAGAUUAGCAGUGAGGAAAUAGUUUUAUCUGCACUGCAUCUGGCAUUUUUCAUUUUCACACAGACCACCAGUCUUACUCAGAGUGUGAACAAUAACUCUCGGAGGAGCUAGUGCAUACAGUUACUCUUGAUGUAGCUGUUGUAUGAAUACCACACUUCUGUAUAGUUAAAAUAUUCAUAUAACAAAAAACAGUUCUUAUUCUUUGGUGUAUUUUCUUAAAUUUAUAUUUACAGUAUCUCUGGAGUUUUGUUGGAGUUUGGUAUGAAUACUUGAAAAUAACACUAUCUUUAAAAACUGUGUAAUACAGACAAGAAUGCUGGCAGCUGCACUCUGCUCAGAAUCCAGUGUCUAAAGAUUAACUAUAAUGGUGCAGUAUUUCCUCUGCAUGCUUGGUAUUCAUCUAUUCUGUAGAACCUACUUCUGAGAUGUCUGAAACCCAUGAUGAUUGUAGAAGCUACACUGUAGGAACAAAAUCAGGUAUAUUCCCAUGUAUAGUGAUAUUCAGGGACAAAGUGCCUAACUGACUAGAGCACUUCCAAUGAAAUAACAGCACUGUAAGAAGAGUACUGAUUACAGCCCUCCAUGAAAAAUUAAAUCCACAGAUAAUGUGUUAUUUGUAACUCGCCAACUACAUUGCUCAUGAGUGGUGCAGGAGAAUCAAUUCCUUCAUUCAUACAAAUUGGUAUAUAUAUUUUUUCGGAAUGUUGAGGAAUAUCAGGUUAUGUGAGUUCCUGUGCACAAGAUCUUUUGAUUGUGGAAGUGCCUUGUAUGAAAUGCUUUUUCGGUUGCUAAGACAUUUUGCUAAGAGGCUCCAUGUAUGUGAAAGGAAUAGAAUUGCUAGCACUUAAAGCUAGGAUAAUAUUAUGCUGUUCACUUGCAAAGGUAGUAUACCCUUACAAGGGAAUCUGCAUUUGUAACCUAAAGAUGAGCCUUUAGAUCAAGUGGAAUCGUAGAAUAUCCUGAGUUGGAAGGGAUCCAUGAGUCCAACUCAUAAUGCCAUGUGGAUUAGCCUAAGUGUUGAACUGUAUCUCUAGAAGAACUCAUUCUGUAUCUUCCUUAUAUGUCAUUCACAUUGCUGUUGAGCUGGAGUUCAAAAGCUACUAUUGUAAGACCUUGUACUGUCUUGAAUAGCAUGAAUAGCAAUUCAGUCCUGAUUAAUAUCUGUUUAUAAAAUAGUAGGAUGGAAUUAAUGCAAUUGGUGUUCAAAAUGAUCAGUUUUUAUCAGCUGGUUAUCUAGCUGUCUUGAAAUAAGACUGUAACUUUGUCUCAAUCUGGUAGCUAUUAUGUAUUUAAUAGCACAGGAAUUUUUAAAAUUGGCCCAGACCUGUUUCUCCUGAAGCAAGUGGUAAAAUUCCAAUUUCUUUAAAUAGAAGAAGGAUUACAUUAUUGCUGACUGCUUGUAAAGUCCCAUCUGUUAACAUUCAACUUGAUUAGAAAUUUUCCAUACAUUCUAUUUUCAAGACUAGAUGACUAUAUGUUCAUUAAUUAGAAGCACUGGUAAAAUAUUUACUAUCUGAACUCUUUCAAACACAUGAAAAGAUUAAUGAAUUCUACUUUGUUUAUUUUUUUCCUUCAGAUUUCCUUAAAGGAAGUCUCUACUUUGCUAACUGACAACAAUAAAUAUUUCAAUAUUUGUUCCUUAACAUCCUGAGUGGCUAUAAAAAACCUCCCCUCACACCUGAAUCUCUGAAUACUUACAGGGAACUGCCAUGUGUUCAGUAUUAAGAGAUCCUGUUCUUUUUCAGUGAACCUGCAAUAGGUGGAAAAGAGCUCUUGAAUCCAUGACCAUAAGCCCUAGUGUUGGUUGAUGUGUCUUUAACUCCUAACUCUUAUUUGAAUAAGGGAGCUUGGGCUCUUGGCUCCAGGAUGUGGCUUGUGCUCUGGAGUUGGUCCCUUCGAACUGCUCACAGUGUGGCUUUACAGUCUCUGCACAUCUCAUCCUGUACAGCCAAGCAGGUGCCUGCAGGGUUAUUGACGAGGCCCUCAGUCUCUGAGCUUGCUGGGCUGUAGACAAAAAAGGCAAUAAAAAGGCAAAAAAAUAAAAUAAAAAUCUUGUGAUCUUGAAGCUCCUCUACAAUGCUGGAAUAUCAUUUGUUUCCCACUUUAAUGCAUAUGAUAUUUGCUGAGGUUGUUUGUAAAUUACAUUCUCCCUGAGCGGCAAGAGCACUGAGAGCAGCCAGAUGGUUAGCAGAAAUGUAUGAUAUAAAGACUGUGACAACUUGGUGCCAUAGUUCUGAAGCUUACUGUCAACUGAAACAACUUGAAAAAAAAAGUUCGACAUUUAAGUUUAGUGGAAAAAAAAUGCAGUUGCUUUUGGAAUAAUAACAUUAUUAUUGUAUUUAGUUGUCUUCCCUCACACCUGUCCUGGAUACUACUUCAUCUAAUAGUUGAGGUGAAAAAAUACAUAGCAAUAUAAGUUACUAAAUUAUAUCACAGGAUGGUAGUCUAAAUCUCAUUUGAGGAGAGUCCUGGCUUGUGUCCAUACAACACGUAAAAAUAAAUAAAAAAAAAUAAUCCAAGUAAUCAUAUGUCCCAGAAAGUUUUUUAACUGAAGCCAAAAAGCACAAUACUUUUCUAUGUAGCCCAGAGAAGAAACCAAUGUCAGGGUGAAUACCAGUGUUUUCUCUAGGAUGAGACAGGUUGACUACUACCAUAAUAAAAAGCUGUUUUUUUUGUUGUUGUUUGUUUGUUUUUUGUUUUUUUACAAGAUCCCUAAUCAUGCUCUACUGAAAACUGUUUUUUUGGGUGGAAUCACCUUCUGCACGUCUCAGAGGUGACCCAUCAUGGUGUGAAGCAGGUGAAUAUCUGCCCAGGGUGUCAGAGAACACAUCCCAAUUCACAGGCUCUGGAUCUGACUUGCAGCUUUAAAUGUUUUGUUAACACUAGGUGGUAGACAAGAAGGUAAAAGCAUUGGCCAGAGAGCUGACUACUGUGUUAAAGCAACAGGAGUUUUGCUAAAUAUGUCAUUCAUC